AACGAACGCUGGCGGCAUGCCUAACACAUGCAAGUCGAACGGGAUCCUAGCUUCGGUUAGGUGAGAGUGGCGGACGGGUGAGUAACACGUGGGAACCUGCCCUUUGGUUCGGGAUAACCGCGGGAAACUGCGGCUAAUACCGGAUGCUCCCGUGAGGGGAAAGAUUUAUCGCCAGAAGAGGGGCCCGCGUCCGAUUAGGUAGUUGGUGGGGUAAUGGCCUACCAAGCCGACGAUCGGUAGCUGGUCUGAGAGGAUGAUCAGCCACACUGGGACUGAGAUACGGCCCAGACUCCUACGGGAGGCAGCAGUGGGGAAUAUUGGACAAUGGGGGCAACCCUGAUCCAGCAAUGCCGCGUGAGUGAUGAAGGCCUUAGGGUUGUAAAGCUCUUUUGCCAGGGAAGAUGAUGACUGUACCUGGAGAAUAAGCCCCGGCUAACUUCGUGCCAGCCGCCGCAGUAAGAC
rnacentral:rRNA from 1 species